rnacentral:rRNA from 1 species
GACAGAGGGGGCAAGCGUUGCUCGGAAUUACUGGGCGUAAAGGGCGCGUAGGCGGGAUGGCAAGUCGGUCGUGAAAUCCCUCGGCUCAACCGAGGAACGUCGAUCGAUACUGCUGUUCUUGAGGAUUGCAGAGGAGACUGGAAUUCCCGGUGUAGCGGUGAAAUGUGUAGAGAUGCGGAGGAACACCGAUGGCGAAGGCAGCCCCCUGGGCCAAUACUGACGCUCAGGCACGAAAGCGUGGGGAGCAAACAGG